rnacentral:rRNA from 1 species
AAUGGGGGAUAACGUAGCGAAAGUUACGCUAAUACCGCAUAUGCCCUGAGGGUGAAAGGUGGGGAUCGCAAGACCUAUCGUUUUCGGAGUGGCCGAUAUCAGAUUAGCUAGUUGGUGGGGUAAAGGCCCACCAAGGCGACGAUCUGUAGCGGGUCUGAGAGGAUGAUCCGCCACACUGGGACUGAGACACGGCCCAGACUCCUACGGGAGGCAGCAGUGGGGAAUUUUGGACAAUGGGGGCAACCCUGAUCCAGCCAUGCCGCGUGAGUGAAGAAGGCCUUCGGGUUGUAAAGCUCUUUCAGCCGGAAAGAAAUCGCGCAGGCUAAUAUCCUGCGUGGAUGACGGUACCGGAAGAAGAAGCACCGGCUAACUACGUGCCAGCAGCCGCGGUAAUACGUAGGGUGCGAGCGUUAAUCGGAAUUACUGGGCGUAAAGCGUGCGCAGGCGGUUUUGUAAGACAGGUGUGAAAUCCCCGGGCUUAACCUGGGAACUGCAUUUGUGACUGCAAGGCUAGAGUGUGGCAGAGGGGGGUAGAAUUCCG